rnacentral:rRNA from 1 species
GACGAACGCUGGCGGCGUGCUUAACACAUGCAAGUCGAACGGAAAGGCCCUGCUUUUGUGGGGUGCUCGAGUGGCGAACGUGUGAGUAACACGUGAGUAACCUGCCCUUGACUUUGGGAUAACUUCAGGAAACUGGGGCUAAUACCGGAUAGGAGCUCCUGCUGCAUGGUGGGGGUUGGAAAGUUUCGGCGGUUGGGGAUGGACUCGCGGCUUAUCAGCUUGUUGGUGGGGUAGUGGCUUACCAAGGCUUUGACGGGUAGCCGGCCUGAGAGGGUGACCGGCCACAUGGGGACUGAGAUACGGCCCAGACUCGAACGGGAGGCAGCAGUGGGGAAUAUUGCACAAUGGGCGGAAGCCUGAUGCAGCAACGCCGCGUGCGGGAUGACGGCCUUCGGGUUGUAAACCGCUUUCGCCUGUGACGAAGCGUGAGUGACGGUAAUGGGUAAAGAAGCACCGGCUAACUACGUG